UGAUACCAGGGGCAAAAGGGCAAACACCCGACGCAAGCCUGCUUGUGGGAGGAUUUUUGACCUUGGGGUCCGCCAAAACAUGAGUAAGUAGCCAUUUUUCAAAGAAAAAUGAGUGGAUUACGAAUGUUUUGGUGGAUUGCGGGAGCACGUAGUGCGAAGUAAUCCGGUAUCA
rnacentral:sRNA from 1 species